rnacentral:rRNA from 1 species
CCUGAGAGGGGUGACGGCCACACUGGGACUGAGACACGGCCCAGACUCCUACGGGAGGCAGCAGUGGGGAAUAUUGCACAAUGGGCGAAAGCCUGAUGCAGCAACGCCGCGUGAGGGAUGACGGCCUUCGGGUUGUAAACCUCUUUUAGUAGGGAAGAAGCGAAAGUGACGGUACCUGCAGAAAAAGCACCGGCUAACUACGUGCCAGCAGCCGCGGUAAUACGUAGGGUGCAAGCGUUGUCCGGAAUUAUUGGGCGUAAAGAGCUCGUAGGCGGUUUGUCGCGUCUGCUGUGAAAUCUGGGGGCUCAACCCCCAGCCUGCAGUGGGUACGGGCAGACUAGAGUGCGGUAGGGGAGAUUGGAAUUCCUGGUGUAGCGGUGGAAUGCGCAGAUAUCAGGAGGAACACCGAUGGCGAAGGCAGAUCUCUGGGCCGUAACUGACGCUGAGGAGCGAAAGCAUGGGGAGCGAACAGGAUUAGAUACCCUGGUAGUCCAUGCCGUAAACGUUGGGAACUAGAUGUGGGGGCCAUUCCACGGUCUCCGUGUCGCAGCUAACGCAUUAAGUUCCCCGCCUGGGGAGUACGGCCGCAAGGCUAAAACUCAAAGGAAUUGACGGGGGCCCGCACAAGCGGCGGAGCAUGCGGAUUAAUUCGAUGCAACGCGAAGAACCUUACCAAGGCUUGACAUAUACCGGAAACGUCCAGAGAUGGUCGCCCCGCAAGGUCGGUAUACAGGUGGUGCAUGGUUGUCGUCAGCUCGUGUCGUGAGAUGUUGGGUUAAGUCCCGCAACGAGCGCAACCCUCGUUCUAUGUUGCCAGCACGUUAUGGUGGGAACUCAUAGGAGACUGCCGGGGUCAACUCGGAGGAAGGUGGGGAUGACGUCAAAUCAUCAUGCCCCUUAUGUCUUGGGCUUCACGCAUGCUACAAUGGCCGGUACAAAGGGCUGCGAUACCGUAAGGUGGAGCGAAUCCCAAAAAGCCGGUCUCAGUUCGGAUUGAGGUCUGCAACUCGACCUCAUGAAGUCGGAGUCGCUAGUAAUCGCAGAUCAGC